rnacentral:rRNA from 1 species
GACGAACGCUGGCGGCGUGCUUAACACAUGCAAGUCGAACGGAAAGGCCCUGCUUUUGUGGGGUGCUCGAGUGGCGAACGGGUGAGUAACACGUGAGUAACCUGCCCUUGACUUUGGGAUAACUUCAGGAAACUGGGGCUAAUACCGGAUAGGAGCUCCUGCUGCAUGGUGGGGGUUGGAAAGUUUCGGCGGUUGGGGAUGGACUCGCGGCUUAUCAGCUUGUUGGUGGGGUAGUGGCUUACCAAGGCUUUGACGGGUAGCCGGCCUGAGAGGGUGACCGGCCACAUUGGGACUGAGAUACGGCCCAGACUCCUACGGGAGGCAGCAGUGGGGAAUAUUGCACAAUGGGCGGAAGCCUGAUGCAGCAACGCCGCGUGCGGGAUGACGGCCUUCGGGUUGUAAACCGCUUUCGCCUGUGAUGAAGCGUGAGUGACGGUAAUGGGUAAAGAAGCACCGGCUAACUACG